GGAAUCUGGAGACAGGUGCUGCAUGGCUGUCGUCAGCUCGUGUCGUGAGAUGUUGGGUUAAGUCCCGCAACGAGCGCAACCCUUGCCUUUAGUUGCCAGCAGUUCGGCUGGGCACUCUAAAGGGACUGCCGGUGUUAAACCGGAGGAAGGUGGGGAUGACGUCAAGUCCUCAUGGCCUUUAUGACCAGGGCUACACACGUACUACAAUGGCCGAUACAAAGGGCAGCGACACUGCGAGGUGAAGCCAAUCCCGUAAAAUCGGUCUCAGUCCGGAUUGGAGUCUGCAACUCGACUCCAUGAAGUUGGAAUCGCUAGUAAUCGUGGAUCAGCAUGCCACGGUGAAUACGUUCCCGGGCCUU
rnacentral:rRNA from 1 species